rnacentral:misc_RNA from 1 species
AUGACCUAAGAUAUCCCCGUGCAUUUUUUUCCUUUUUUUAAAUAGUCCAAUAUAAAUAAAUAAAUAAAUAAUAGGUCUGUUAGUCCCUGGCGGGCCUUCCUCAGUUCAAGCUUCAUCCAUUAUAGAGGGAGCUCAGUAUAUCUUAUCUGCAGUUAGGAAAGCGUCAACAUCCACUAGAUCAACAUAUGUAACCUCUUAGGCAGUCUUGGUUGGUCUCAAGUCUCAGCCAAGCCAUGUGGAUGGCAUUACGGGCGGCCCAUCAAGUCCUCUAAAUCAAUAGCAAAAAUAGAACACAGCAUGAGUCUUCGUAUCAAUUCAAGCUUUGCAUGUCUGACUUAUUGUGCUCUCUCGCUGAUGUCGGUCAAAAAUAUUGGACAAUAUUCUAAUUUAACAUGGUCCAUUAACAGUUGUUACUUGUGAAAUUUGUUUGCUUUGCCUUUUUAUUGCUAGAAAUAUCAUUUCAAGGGGAAAAAGUACUGGCAGUAAAUCAUGCAGAAAUGCAUGGUCAUUAGGUCCCACAAGUUAAAUCUAUUCGUUCAUAACAUUAAUCAAACUGCUAAUCAUAGUGUAUCGUUGUAGUUUCUGCUGAUCAACUGAUUUAUAAGGGAUCAUUUUAGUCUGAUGGAUUGACCAUUUGAAUCUUCGCAUUAACAAUGAAAACUUCUAGGUGUUGAUUGGAUAAUUUUACCUUGCUGAUGCUUACCGUAAUGAAAAAUGCUGUAUGGCUGGUCUCGAUUGCCGAUCACUUUUAUGUAAAACUCCUUUUCUUCUGAUGAGUCUGGAAGGUAUUUGGUAUUGUAGCAGUAUGAAUAAUUCCCCAUUUUUUAAUGAGUGGCUGCUGGAAGUUCCACUGGUGGAAAAGGGUUUUCUUGUAAGAUUUCUUAGCUCAUAGGUUUAUGCAAGGUGAAGAAAGUCUUUCCGAUCAACAUUUUAAAUUUGCCUACAAUUUAAUGAAAUUCAUGAAGGGACAUAAUUUUAUAUUUUGAACUUUUGAUUAGUAAUUUCCCUUGAUCAAUUGACUAUUUUAUCAGGACCAAGGUCGCGGCUUGUGCUAAGCACUAUGUGGGAGAUGGUGGCACAACCAGAGGCAUCAAUGAAAACAACACUGUGAUAAGUUUGAAUGGAUUGCUCAAUAUCCAUAUGCCAGCAUACUUCAAUGCCAUCACCAAGGGAGUUGCAACAGUCAUGGUCUCCUAUUCAAGCUGGAAUGGAAAAAAGAUGCAUGCUAAUCGUGAUCUUGUCACUGGAUUCCUCAAGAACAAGAUGAAGUUCAGGGGCAUUGUAAUAUCAGAUUGGCAGGGGAUUGACAGGAUUACCUCUCCUCCUCAUGCCAAUUAUUCAUAUUCUGUUGAAGCUGGAGUCAGUGCGGGAAUUGACAUGGUCAUGGUUCCUUAUAAUUUCACAGAAUUCAUAGAUGACCUAACCUAUCAGGUGAAGAACAAAAUUAUCCCCAUGAGCAGGAUUAAUGACGCGGUACAAAGAAUCUUAAGGGUUAAAUUUACCAUGGGUCUUUUUGAGAACCCACUUGCUGAUCUCAGUUUGACCAGCCAACUUGGUAGUCAGGAACAUAGAGAAUUAGCAAGAGAAGCUGUAAGGAAAUCACUUGUGUUGCUGAAAAAUGGGAUAAAUGGAACUGAUCCAUUACUACCGCUCCCCAAGAAAGCUUCAAAGAUUUUAGUUGCAGGUACUCAUGCUGACAAUUUGGGCUACCAAUGUGGAGGGUGGACAAUUGCAUGGCAAGGAUUUAGUGGCAACAACUAUACAAGGGGAACAACCAUCCUUGCUGCCAUAAGAUCUAUAGUUGAUCCUAGUACAGAAGUUUUCUUCCAAGAGAAUCCUGAUAGCAAGUUUGUCAAGUCCAAUAACUUUGCUUAUGCUGUUGUUAUUGUUGGUGAGCCUCCUUAUGCUGAAACAGCAGGAGAUAGCAUGAACCUCACAAUGAUAGAUCCUGGUCCAAGUGUUAUCAGCAAUGUCUGUGAGGCUGUCAAGUGUGUUGUUGUCAUCAUCUCUGGUCGACCUAUUGUGAUUGAACCAUAUGUUUCCUUAGUUGAUGCCUUAGUUGCAGCAUGGUUGCCUGGCACCGAAGGCCAUGGGGUGACUGAUGUCCUUUAUGGAGACUAUAGAUUUAGUGGAAAACUUCCAAGAACAUGGUUUAAAAAUGUAAAUCAGCUACCAAUGAAUGUUGGGGAUUCACACUACGAUCCACUUUUCCCCUUUGGCUUUGGGCUGAAAACUGGGUCUGUUCCAGGUGUUGUGGGAAGGUCAACAUCAGCUGGUGUUGUUGGGAGGCCAUAUAUACCUUUUAUUGUGGUCCUUGUAACAUUCAAUUUGUAUUUCACAGGCAUAAUUUUUAACCUGAAUCACUCAUGAACAAGUAUCCUUAUUUUAGAUAAUUGAAUAGAUUGAUCUGUUUUUCCCGCACCUUGAAGAGAUGUUUACCCAUUUCCUUUCAAUCAAUGGAAUGUUGGCCAUGUUUAGCAGGCUACAAAAAAAUUAAUUCGAUUUCUUAGUGUGACUUU